rnacentral:lncRNA from 1 species
AAUAAUCUUGCCUUUUGCUCACCCUCAAACCCAGCCCCCAGCGCGCCUUCUCGACCAGUUAAGGUGCACAGCUGGCUAAACGGUGAAUGGAUAGGUAAACGCGUAACUUUUGCUUUUUUGAAGCUGCGGUACAAUACCUUUGUUAAAAACUACCUGGAGAAAAUGAUAUUGAGAUAAUAUGGGCCCUCUUUUUCCUUAAAUUUGAAGUGAAAUGAGACAGGAACCAUAUAUCCAGGGAAAGGGCCAGAAAUCUUUAUUUUUGACUCCAUCUCUACCCAUUUUGCUUAUUGUUCCCAAAGGAUCCUGACACCAGCAAAUGUACAAAUUAUAAACAAGUUUAAGAUCUGUGGUGCCAAAAUACAAGCUUCUGAAGAUCUAUGGGCUGAAGUACAAGCUUCUUGGCCUUUCAAGUGAAAUGUUGGUGUUAUGUGUGGGAAAAUUUGGCUGGCCAUGUCAAAAUGGAAAAGGAAUAUAAGUAUGAAAAAAUUUACAUGAUAAACAUGACCAUUUUACU